rnacentral:rRNA from 1 species
UACGUAGGCAGCGAGCGUUGUUCGGAGUUACUGGGCGUAAAGAGUGCGUAGGCGGUUUUCUAAGUUUGGUGUGAAAUCUCCCGGCUCAACUGGGAGGGUGCGCCGAAGACUGGAAGGCUAGAGUAUGGGAGAGGUAAGCGGAAUUCCUGGUGUAGCGGUGAAAUGCGUAGAUAUCAGGAGGAACACCUGCGGUGUAGACGGCUUACUGGACCAUCACUGACGCUGAGGCACGAAAGCGUGGGGAGCAAACAGG